CUCGCCGUACACAGCAACAUCAAUACAAAUAUCUGCAUGCAAGGUGCAGAAGUGUAGUAUGAGUACAAUCGGCCCCAUGUACUCAAUAAGAAUCCUAACUAGCCUCGGCGAGGUAAAAGAAGAAAGAACUGUAGAUGAUACUCACUUACACCUGUGCAGUUCAGUAUUUUCAACAAGUAUAGAACAUGUAUAUGAUCAAAUCAGGGACAAUCUCAGGUAUAACCAUUUUUAUGCUCACAAUUCUUAGCCUUAGAGUGUUCUGCUCAGCCAACAAUCCAAUAUAUAAGGAAGAUAUACAAGUAAAUCGGGUAAUCAGUUAAGUGAUUAGCAAGUAAAGAUGAAAGAUUUCCGACAUCGGAUCACUCCUCAAUUCUUAUUUUACAUUUUGAAUGGUUUUUACAAAAUUUCUCAUUUUCUUCCAUUUAAUUAAAUAAUUUAAUGAUAUAAAUAAGUAUGAAAUCAUGAAAUGUAACUAGCUUUACUAGAGCUCACAUAAAUAUCAACUGCACGGAUAACUCACGCGAUAUAGUGCCAAUAUACAGAUCCGCACUGAUAACUCACAUGCUCAAGGACAAUUCACGUGCUAUAUUAUCAAUAUCUGGAUCCGCACGGACAACUCACGUGCUAUAGUAUCAAUGUCUGGAUCUGCACGGACAACUCACGUGCUAUAGUAUCAAUCCGCCCGGCGUGGUCACAGGUAUUACAGCCCAAAUCAUAUCGCACAGAAGCAAGUAUACAAGAACACAUGUAUAUGAUAGAUAAAAUAUCAUAUUUCAUGCUCCUGGACUGGUAUAAUUACAUGCUAAAAGUGUAGGCAUGUGCAAUGUGUGCUAUCGUAGCUCAAAUCGACAAUUUAUCAUAGAACUUGCAAUUACCAAGUUUUAGUCAGGGAAUUACCCUCUUCGUAACCUCAAACAUAUCUCAAAUAGUUCACAACAAUUCAACAAUUACCUAAAUAUGCACUCUCCCCCGAGUUAUGCACACUAAAUAGACACAGCUAAUUGAGGAUCCUAUCAAUUAACUACAACAAGAACGUAGUUGAACAAAUAGAGAUUAAACCAGGCAACUAUAUUAACAUAACAAGAAGUUCAUCCUUCAAUAGGUUCCAUCAAAACCUUAGACUAAAUAUUUAGCUACUCAUACUAGGAUUCAUCACAACAACAUUCAAAUUCAUCACAAAUCGUAAAAACAAAAGGAAGAAAGGAAGAACUCGAUGUUGAAUUAUCCUCCUUACCUCUUGCCUCUCCUUGCCUUGAACUAAGCUAUGAAAACCUUGAUAAUCCUCUCUUGGGCGAGCUAGACCUUCUAUAGGUUAAGUGGAUUUGCCCCUGAACUUCCAAUUUUACCCCUGCAAUUUACUCUUCCGGAACUGGGCUAGCGCGGUCGCGCUAGUCCAGGUCUUCAUUUCAUCUCUUCUUUUUCUCGUCUUCCCACGUACUCGGCUCCUACUCACUCCUACAACGUGUGAAAUUCACAAUUAGAGCCAAUUUAUCAACAUUUAACUAUAUUAUCACAAUGAAACAUAAUCAAGCUGAGGCAUAAACAAUCACCAAAUUACAUAAAUCUAGCCUAUUAUCAGACACAUUGUUCAUUCAGUGGGCUCCAUUUAUUCCGAAAUUAU
rnacentral:lncRNA from 1 species